rnacentral:rRNA from 1 species
GAUGAACGCUGGCGGCGUGCCUAAUACAUGCAAGUCGAGCGAAUGGAUUAAGAGCUUGCUCUUAUGAAGUUAGCGGCGGACGGGUGAGUAACACGUGGGUAACCUGCCCAUAAGACUGGGAUAACUCCGGGAAACCGGGGCUAAUACCGGAUAAUAUUUUGAACUGCAUGGUUCAAAAUUGAAAGGCGGCUUCGGCUGUCACUUAUGGAUGGACCCGCGUCGCAUUAGCUAGUUGGUGAGGUAACGGCUCACCAAGGCAGCGAUGCGUAGCCGACCUGAGAGGGUGAUCGGCCACACUGGGACUGAGACACGGCCCAGACUCCUACGGGAGGCAGCAGUAGGGAAUCUUCCGCAAUGGACGAAAGUCUGACGGAGCAACGCCGCGUGAGUGAUGAAGGCUUUCGGGUCGUAAAACUCUGUUGUUAGGGAAGAACAAGUGCUAGUUGAAUAAGCUGGCACCUUGACGGUACCUAACCAGAAAGCCACGCCUAACUACGUGCCAGCCGCCGCGGUAA